CCACCACGCUGGCCACCUAACUGAUAUUUUUAAAAUAUUCUUACUUCACCCAACUCAAUAUCUUAAUUUAAUGUUAAUUUUUUUUUGGGCCUUUGUUCAUUUGUUUGUUCUAUCUACCCCCCCAAAAUCUGGGCAGGAAUGUGCUGUACACCAAACUUGUCCAAGCCGUGGUCCAUGGGUUGCAAGUGACCCAGGACAGCUUUGAAUGUAGCCCAACACAAAUUCAUAAACUUUCUUAAAACAUGAGAUUUUUUUUUUCCGAUUUUUUUUUUUCUCAUCAGGUAUCAUUAGUGUUAAGUGUAUUUUAUGUAUGGUACAAGAGAUUUCUUCUUCCAGUGUGGCCCAGGGAAGCCAAAAGAUUGGACAUCCCUGCUUUACACUCAUUCCCCUCUCACCAGGAACUCAGCAUAGUGAUAACAUCCCUGCUUUACACUCAUUCCCCUCUCACCAGGAACUCAGCAUAGUGAUAAACACACAGAAGGUAUUCAACAAAUAGUUGCUGAAUACCUCUUAAAAGAAUACAGUAGGACUCUUCUAUAUCUAUAAAUCAUCUCUCACUCACGUCCAUGUGCACGUGUGCACACAUAGAGUGUUCUGUUUGAAUAUUCCACCUUCCUUGAUAUAGAAAGGAAAGUGUAAUACCUCUUUUAUCCACUCAAUUCCUUU
rnacentral:lncRNA from 10 species